AACGAACGCUGGCGGCAGGCCUAACACAUGCAAGUCGAGCGGACCCUUCGGGGUUAGCGGCGGACGGGUGAGUAACGCGUGGGAAUAUGCCCUUCUCUACGGAAUAGUCCUGGGAAACUGGGGGUAAUACCGUAUACGCCCUUUGGGGGAAAGAUUUAUCGGGGAAGGAUUAGCCCGCGUUGGAUUAGGUAGUUGGUGGGGUAAUGGCCUACCACGCCGACGAUCCAUAGCUGGUUAGAGAGGAUGAUCAGCCACACUGGGACUGAGACACGGCCCAGACUCCUACGGGAGGCAGCAGUGGGGAAUCUUAGACAAUGGGGGCAACCCUGAUCUAGCCAUGCCGCGUGAGUGAUGAAGGCCUUAGGGUUGUAAAGCUCGUUCAGCUGGGAAGAUAAUGACGGUACCAGCAAAAGAAGCCCCGGCUAACUCCGUG
rnacentral:rRNA from 1 species